rnacentral:rRNA from 1 species
AUUGAACGCUGGCGGCAGGCCUAACACAUGCAAGUCGAACGAGUGGCGGACGGGUGAGUAAUGUCUGGGAAACUGCCUGAUGGAGGGGGAUAACUACUGGAAACGGUAGCUAAUACCGCAUACCAUCGGAUGUGCCCAGAUGGGAUUAGCUAGUAGGUGGGGUAAAGGCUCACCUAGGCGACGAUCCCUAGCUGGUCGGAGAGGAUGACCGUCACCACUGGCACUGAACUCCGUCCACGACUCCUACGGGGGGAAGCAGUGGGAAUUGUUGCACAAUGGGGGCAAGCCGGAUGAAGCCAUGCCGGGUGUAUGAAGAAGGCAUUGGGGUUGUAAAGUACUUUCAGCGGGGAGGCGUUACCCGCAGAAGAAGCACCGGCUAACUCCGUGCCAGCAGCCGCGGUAAUAC